ensembl:lncRNA
CGGACUUCUUUAAGUUACAUCAAAGUUUCAUGUCUAUAGAGUUAUCCCAUGAGAAGAUACAUUAAAACAUUUGAAAAAAUGGCUAGGGUUUUGUGAGAUACUGUAUAUGUACCAAUUUAGGUUAGGUGAACUUCUCACUGUUUCACAUAAUGAGUAAUGUGUUAAUUUUGUUUUGAAAGAUAAUUCCUACAAAUACUGAGUGAUGUAGUGGAUGGCUGGAAAGAAGAGGUAUGGUUUUAUUAAUUUACACAUAUACUUUGACUAGCUUUUGGGUAGUGCAGAUUUGUACCUACCAUCUUUUGUUUUUCGCAGGGGGUUUCUCUCAUAACAGCCUCUGCUAAUUGAAACUCCUCCAUUGUCCUCAGAGGCAGCUUGAUGGACGAAGCGGCAGCUUCUGGUGCUACCGGCCUCACCAUCUCUCUCCUAAGCGCCCUCACUUCACUCCCCAGAUUGUCGUGCUGUUUUUCUUGGGGGGGGUGGUGCCUCGUCAUCAGUGUCCACACCUUGAAGCAUAUUUAACUCUAAAGGUCUGCACCUUCAAAAAAGUGUUGCGGCGGGCCCGUAGUGGUCUGGACUCUUCCAGCUGGCUCCUGCAGCUAACCAAGACCCUCACGUCACCGUGCACGUCCCACGCUGCACCUGGAGGAAGGUGGUGCGCGACUGCCUUCUGGAGGCGGUUAUGAUCGUAAGAACUAGGAGGCCAGAAACAAUUCCAUGACUCCCCUGCCUCCUCCAACCAGCUGCUUGGCACUAUGGUAGUGCUCCUAUCUUUGAAUUCGACGACCUUCCACACCUGUGCCAUCUGUCAAUGAGUGUGCGCAAGUCGUCGUUGCCAGCAGGCUGCACCCGACAGCCAAGGGAUUUACAUGUGGCAUAGCAAGUCUCUGAAGCAGUGUCUCACACUCGAGUCCUGACCGAGGGCCUUGAAACUGGCAUGCCUGUUCAAAACAUCUCCAGGACAACAAGGGUCUCCGUUGUUGUCAACUGCUUCUCGGAGAGCUGGAUGGAGAGGGUUUGCAGCGUCUGUAUUCCAAUUGGUUGUCAGGGUUUUUGCAUUGGAAAUGCAUCAGUGAACAAAUCGCCUGCUUGUGCCAUCCGUAAGAAGAUGAAGGAGAAUGCGUGCAGUGGGCUGAAUGGAGAAUUCGUGAAUCAAAGGCAACACCAUCAAAUGCAUUAUGAAAUUAAGCACUAUCAGGUUGUCAAGGCUGUAGCUCAGCGGGUACAUGGUCCUGGAUACCAGAUUUUUUUUUUUUGAAAACUAUUUAUAUAUGGAAUCUGAAUGCACUCCAGGAAAUGCUGCAGUUCUUUGUGCCACAAGAGGCCAAGAAGCUCUACUACAAGACGUUGAGGCAGAAGAUGAAGAUUAUUACAAAUUAUCCAAGUCAGUUCCGACCAAGUAAUUUGAUUGGACAAGAGGCAUUCCAGUGCUGAUAUAGAGUAUAACAGCACUGGGUCUUUUAACUAUACACGUAUCGCUCCGCC